rnacentral:tRNA from 1 species
ACCCCUGUAGCUCAGGAGGAUAGAGCACCGGUUUCCUAAACCGGGUGCCCCGGUUCGAGUCCGGGCAGGGGUGCCA